CCACGGAAAGCUGAAGUGUCCCAAGGAAUGCUGAGGUCCCAGGGAACAGAGGCAUUCCCUGCCCGGCGCACUCGGCAGCACAUCCCUGACGUGGUGCAGAAAAAGGAAAGUUCUGGGAUAGUGUGAGGAUGUUUCUGGAAUUGGGAUGGGUGCCGAUCACACCAUGGAGUCACGGGGGAUUUGGCUUGGAAGGGACCACAGAGAUCUUCUACAGGCUGCUGUCUGAUCCCACAGCAAGGAACAUCCCACAGUGCCUCCCACCCUCAUGGACAGCAGGGAUGUUUUCCACAGCUCCUGCUCAGGAAUGGGAACGGCUGCUGGGAGCUCUGCCAGCAGCACCUGGACACCGGGUAAGAACAGCACUGGGACUGGUUUGGCUGCUGCUGGAUGUGGAUUUCUCCUUUCAGGAUGUUCCUCUGAUUGAUCCUUUCACAUCAGUGUUCCAGGGCCCAUUUGAGGGCAAUUCCAAGAAUUUCAAAACAGUUGAAGAACAGAGAGGAAAAACUGUGAACCUGAUCCAUUUCUAGUAAUUCCAAACUUCUCCCACAACACCAUCCUAGAGGAAACCUGGGUAAGGGAUAAAGAUGCAGAGGAACAGCUGUUGUAAACCCCCCUGGAUUUCUGACAGAGCAAACCUUCCAAUAAUCCCAGCUGAUGGCUCUGAGGAACUGUGGAUCAUACUGAUUUCCAGGAAAGCGAAACAAGAGAUGAGGGAAUAGGCUUCCAGUUGAAAGUGAUUUGAUGAACACAGGAAUGAUUCUUUUAUGUUUGAUGCUCCCCUUUAUAUUCCUGGAAUAAUUUAAAAUUGUUCCUUUAAUAAAUAAUCUAAAUUUGGGAAUUUAAAUUUGAGAGGGAAUGAUGCAAAAUUAAUGCAGGGAGAGACUGUAGAAUCAUCAUGGAAGGGUUUGGGUCGGAAGCCUCAUCUCUGAGCCUGUCCUGGGCUGGCUCCUGCCCUUCGGCCACUGCUUGCAGGUGGACAUGGAAGUGAUGGAGAUGCACAGGGAAUGCUGGUUGGUUUUCCCUGCCUAUGGAAAUCUGAUCAUUAAAAUGACCCCUGAUUGAUCUCUUCCAGCAGGGAGACAUUUAAACAUGAGGUGCCAAAAAGAACUGGAGCUUCUGCACAAUGAAAUCUGCAAGAAUCCAACUUAAAACCCCCCCUGCAUUGUCACAGGUGCAACUUCCAUGGACUGGUCACCUUGGCCAGGAGUGUCCAAUCCUGCUGGAAAUGCACUGCACCAGGAUGUCAUCUUCAUUUUAGGCAGCAGAGGAGCCUUUCCCUUGCCCAGAGGAGCAGCCAGUGCCUCCCUUAGUCCACAGAUCUCCAGGAUUGACCACAGA